rnacentral:rRNA from 1 species
UCGAGCGGUAGAGAGGAGCUUGCUCCUCUUGAGAGCGGCGGACGGGUGAGUAAUGCCUAGGAAUCUGCCUGGUAGUGGGGGAUAACGUUCGGAAACGGACGCUAAUACCGCAUACGUCCUACGGGAGAAAGCAGGGGACCUUCGGGCCUUGCGCUAUCAGAUGAGCCUAGGUCGGAUUAGCUAGUUGGUGAGGUAAUGGCUCACCAAGGCGACGAUCCGUAACUGGUCUGAGAGGAUGAUCAGUCACACUGGAACUGAGACACGGUCCAGACUCCUACGGGAGGCAGCAGUGGGGAAUAUUGGACAAUGGGCGAAAGCCUGAUCCAGCCAUGCCGCGUGUGUGAAGAAGGUCUUCGGAUUGUAAAGCACUUUAAGUUGGGAGGAAGGGCAGUAAAUUAAUACUUUGCUGUUUUGACGUUACCGACAGAAUAAGCACCGGCUAACUCUGUGCCAGCAGCCGCGGUAAU